GUCUACAGCUAUACCACUCUGAAUUUGUCCAGUUUUGUCUGAUCUUGGAAGCUAAGCAGGAUUGGGCCUAGUUAUUACUUGGAUAGGAAGAAGAACUUGUACAAU
rnacentral:rRNA from 1 species